rfam:Gossypium hirsutum cultivar TM-1 chromosome 15, whole genome shotgun sequence
AACCCAUGAUGAGGGCACCUUCUCAAUAUAUCUUUAAAUCUCUCUUAUGCAUCAAAUAAUGUCUCCAAAUCAAUUUGAGCAAAACAAGAGGUGUCAUUUCUCAACUU